CCCUGAGGUCUGAGGCGUCCUUCCGCUCGUGCCCGUCAGCAGCUCCAGGCGCGUGUGUCGGUAGUGUCUGUAGUGUCGGUGAAGAUGUUCGGGCAGCAGGUCUUAGUUCUCAACCAGAACGUGAAGAGAGAGUCUGGACGUAAAGUUCAGACCGGAAACAUCAGCGCAGCGAAGACCAUUGCAGAUGUGAUCCGGACCUGCCUCGGCCCUCGGGCCAUGAUGAAGGUGUGACAUCAUCACCUCACAGCACCAGAACACUUAGUAGAUCCAGUGGUAGAUUACAUUACUGAGUAUUAACCAGUCUGAAAUGAGAGAAUGUUUGUUUCCUCACUAGAGAUUCAUUCAUUCAUCACUUUGAUCACUUCUGAUUCAUCGUAGGGAAAUAUUUAUAUUCACG